GCAAGUCGAACGGUAACAUGAGAGCUUGCUCUUGAUGACGAGUGGCGCACGGGUGCGUAACGCGUAUGCAACUUACCCCAAACUGGAGAAUAGCCUUUGGAAACGAAGAAUAAUACUCCAUAGUAUUCUGAGAAGGCAUCUUCUUAGUCUUAAAGCUUCGGCGGUUUGGGAUAGGCAUGCGUUCUAUUAGUUAGUUGGUGAGGUAAUGGCUCACCAAGACCACGAUAGAUAGGGGGCCUGAGAGGGUUAUC
rnacentral:rRNA from 1 species